UCGGGCGGUUCCCCCUUCGGGGGGACAGGGUGACAGGUGGUGCAUGGUUGUCGUCAGCUCGUGUCGUGAGAUGUUGGGUUAAGUCCCGCAACGAGCGCAACCCUCGACCUUAGUUGCCAGCAUUCAGUUGGGCACUCUAAGGUGACUGCCGGCUAAAAGUCGGAGGAAGGUGGGGAUGACGUCAAAUCAUCAUGCCCCUUAUGACCUGGGCUACACACGUGCUACAAUGGGCGGUACAAAGGGUCGCGAACCCGCGAGGGGGGAGCCAAUCCCAAAAAGCCGCUCUCAGUUCGGAUUGCAGGCUGCAACUCGACUGCGUGAAGUCGGAAUCGCUAGUAAUCGUGAAUCAGAAUGUCACGGUGAAUACGUUCCCGGGCCUU
rnacentral:rRNA from 1 species